CGACAUUUUUUUCAUACAAGUUAUUUUCAUAAUUUGGAAUUGUGAGUGCUGUGAAAGUAUCCAUCAUAUUGUGGAUCAAAUAUAUGGCCCAGCAGUACACUACCAGAAAUUGAAGUGGGAAUCAACAAUUGGGGCAGCAUUCUGUUUCCAUUUUCAUGCCCUGAGGUGGUGAGUUGCGGGUGCCUCCUAUUUACAUAAAUUUGGGGAUUCCAUUAGUUUCUUCUGCACUACUCCACUCCUCUUCUAACGGUUGAGCUCUCCGACCCGGGAUGUUCUACAGACAAAGCGACCGACCUCUUUAAGGUCAGGAGGACCCGACCUCUUCUCAAAGAGGUCGGCCAAAUCACAAGAAGGCUCAAUAGAGGGCCCAAACGGAGGAACAUGCCCCAAAUCCUAAGGCAGCCCAAGCCUACAGAGAGAAGGGCGGUUCCCUUGAAGAUAAGAUGACCUCAAUUAAAGAUAAAGAUA